AUGCUUUACAGCUUAGAACCGGGGCUCCAAAAGCGUUUUGAGCAGCACAGAGCAUAUGAGAUAUUCCAAGAGCUGAAAAUGGGUUUCCAAGCUCAUGCCCGGGUCGAGAGAUAUGAAGUCUCCGACAAUUUCUACAGCUGUAAGAUGGAGGAGAAUGGUUCUGUCAGCGAGCACAUACUCAAAAUGUCUGGGUUGCACAACCGCUUGUCUCAGCUGGGAGUUAAUCUCCCGGAUGACGCGGUCAUUGACAGAAUCCUCCAGUCGCUCCCACCUAGCUACAAGAGCUUUGUGAUGAACUACAAUAUGCAUGGGAUGGUGAAAACCAUUCCUAAUGUAUUUUCAUUGCUGAAAUCAGCGGAGGUGGAGAUCAAAAAGGAACAUCAAGUGUUGAUGGUCAAUAAAACCACUAGUUUCAACAAAGGCAAGGGUAAGAAGAACUUCAAGAAGGACGGGAAGGGAGUUGCCGCGCCCGGUAAGCCAGUUGCCGGGAAGAAGCCAAAGCAUGGACCGAAACCUAAGACUGAGUGCUUUUAUUGCAAGGGAAGCGGACACUGGAAGCGAAACUGCCCCAAGUACUUAGCAGACAAGAAGGCCGGCAACACCAAAGGUAUAUGUGAUAUACAUGUAAUUGAUGUGUACCUUACCAGUACUACUAGUAGCUCCUGGGUAAUUGAUACCGGUGCGGUUGCUCAUAUUUGUAACUCAAAACAGGAGCUGCGGAAUAAGCGGAGACUGGCGAAGGACGAGGUGAGGAUGCGCGUCGGGAAUGGUUCCAAGGUCGAUGUGAUCACCGUCGGCACGCUACCUCUACAUUUACCUACGGGAUUAGUUUUAAACCUCAAUAAUUGUUAUUUAGUGCCAACUUUGAGCAUGAACAUUGUAUCUGGAUCUCGUUUAAUAUGA
rnacentral:rRNA from 1 species